rnacentral:rRNA from 1 species
AGAGUUUGAUCCUGGCUCAGAACGAACGCUGGCGGCAGGCCUAAAACAUGCAAGUCGAACGAAGGCUUCGGCCUUAGUGGCGCACGGGUGAGUAACGCGUGGGAACGUGCCCCUGGGUGCGGAAUAACGUCUGGAAACGGACGCUAAUACCGCAUAAUGACUCCGGUCCAAAGUCCAGUUGUCAGUUUUCAGUUAGCAGUUGGCAGAUGUGAGAUUGUCGGUAAUUCAUGUACAGAAUUAUCCGCUUUCUUUGGUAAUUUCUGACGACUGAUAACCGAUAACUGACAACAGGUACGCCCAGGGAUCGGCCCGCGUUAGAUUAGGUAGUUGGUGGGGUAAUUGCCUACCAAGCCGACGAUCUAUAGCUGGUCUGAGAGGAUGAUCAGCCACACUGGGACUGAGACACGGCCCAGACUCCUACGGGAGGCAGCAGUUAGGAAUAUUGGACAAUGGGGGCAACCCUGAUCCAGCCAUGCCGCGUGAGUGAAGAAGGCCUUAGGGUUGUAAAGCUCUUUCAGGUGCGACGAUGAUGACGGUAACACCAGGAGAAGCCCCGGCUAAAUUCGUGCCAGCAGCCGCGGUAAUACGAAUGGGGCAAGCGUUGUUCGGAAUCACUGGGCGUAAAGCGUGCGCAGGCGGCUAUCCAAGUCAGAAGUGAAAGCCCAGGGCUCAACCCUGGAAUUGCUUUUGAAACUGGAUGGCUAGAGU